UGGGGAAUAUUGGACAAUGGGCGAAAGCCUGAUCCAGCCAUGCCGCGUGUGUGAAGAAGGUCUUCGGAUUGUAAAGCACUUUAAGUUGGGAGGAAGGGCAUUAACCUAAUACGUUAGUGUUUUGACGUUACCGACAGAAUAAGCACCGGCUAACUCUGUGCCAGCAGCCGCGGUAAUACAGAGGGUGCAAGCGUUAAUCGGAAUUACUGGGCGUAAAGCGCGCGUAGGUGGUUUGUUAAGUUGGAUGUGAAAUCCCCGGGCUCAACCUGGGAACUGCAUUCAAAACUGACUGACUAGAGUAUGGUAGAGGGUGGUGGAAUUUCCUGUGCAGCGGUGAAAUGCGUAGAUAUAGGAAGGAACACCAGUGGCGAAGGCGACCACCUGGACUAAUACUGACACUGAGGUGCGAAAGCGUGGGGAGCAAACA
rnacentral:rRNA from 1 species